CCUACGGGAGGCAGCAGUGGGGAAUAUUGCACAAUGGGGGAAACCCUGAUGCAGCGACGCCGCGUGAGUGAAGCAGUAUUUCGGUACGUAAAGCUCUAUCAGCAGGGAAGAAAAUGACGGUACCUGACUAAGAAGCCCCGGCUAACUACGUGCCAGCAGCCGCGGUAAUACGUAGGGGGCAAGCGUUAUCCGGAUUUACUGGGUGUAAAGGGAGCGUAGACGGCAGCGCAAGUCUGGAGUGAAAUCCCAUGGCUUAACCAUGGAACUGCUUUGGAAACUGUGCAGCUAGAGUGCAGGAGAGGUAAGCGGAAUUCCUAGUGUAGCGGUGAAAUGCGUAGAGAUUAGGAGGAACACCAGUGGCGAAGGCGGCUUACUGGACUGUAACUGACGUUGAGGCUCGAAAGCGUGGGGAGCAAACAGGAUUAGAUACCCCUGUAGUC
rnacentral:rRNA from 1 species